rnacentral:rRNA from 1 species
UACAUGCAAGUCGAGCGAACAGAAGGGAGCUUGCUCCCGGAUGUUAGCGGCGGACGGGUGAGUAACACGUGGGUAACCUGCCUGUAAGACUGGGAUAACUCCGGGAAACCGGAGCUAAUACCGGAUAGUUCCUUGAACCGCAUGGUUCAAGGAUGAAAGACGGUUUCGGCUGUCACUUACAGAUGGACCCGCGGCGCAUUAGCUAGUUGGUGGGGUAAUGGCUCACCAAGGCGACGAUGCGUAGCCGACCUGAGAGGGUGAUCGGCCACACUGGGACUGAGACACGGCCCAGACUCCUACGGGAGGCAGCAGUAGGGAAUCUUCCGCAAUGGACGAAAGUCUGACGGAGCAACGCCGCGUGAGUGAUGAAGGUUUUCGGAUCGUAAAGCUCUGUUGUUAGGGAAGAACAAGUGCGAGAGUAACUGCUCGCACCUUGACGGUACCUAACCAGAAAGCCACGGCUAACUACGUGCCAGCAGCCGCGGUAAUACGUAGGUGGCAAGCGUUGUCCGGAAUUAUUGGGCGUAAAGGGCUCGCAGGCGGUUUCUUAAGUCUGAUGUGAAAGCCCCCGGCUCAACCGGGGAGGGUCAUUGGAAACUGGGAAACUUGAGUGCAGAAGAGGAGAGUGGAAUUCCACGUGUAGCGGUGAAAUGCGUAGAGAUGUGGAGGAACACCAGUGGCGAAGGCGACUCUCUGGUCUGUAACUGACGCUGAGGAGCGAAAGCGUGGGGAGCGAACAGGAUUAGAUACCCUGGUAGUCCACGCCGUAAACGAUGAGUGCUAAGUGUUAGGGGGUUUCCGCCCCUUAGUGCUGCAGCUAACGCAUUAAGCACUCCGCCUGGGGAGUACGGUCGCAAGACUGAAACUCAAAGGAAUUGACGGGGGCCCGCACAAGCGGUGGAGCAUGUGGUUUAAUUCGAAGCAACGCGAAGAACCUUACCAGGUCUUGACAUCCUCUGACAACCCUAGAGAUAGGGCUUUCCCUUCGGGGACAGAGUGACAGGUGGUGCAUGGUUGUCGUCAGCUCGUGUCGUGAGAUGUUGGGUUAAGUCCCGCAACGAGCGCAACCCUU